GGGGUUGUAGCUCAGUGGUAGAGCUUUUGCCUUGCAGGUGUGAGGUGCUGAGUUUGACUCUCAGCACCACA
rnacentral:tRNA from 1 species